CUUACAAUAUUUUUAAUCUAAUUAAAGAUUUGUAGGUGAGGUUCACGAAAACUUAUGCAAAAGGUAAAAGCCUCUAUUAUAAAAGUUUUGCAUCCACUAGGAUAUCUUUUAUAUUUCAAGUCUGAAUCCAUAUCUUAAUAUCCAAGGUGCAAUUUUUUGAGGUAAUCCUAUAUUCACAAAGUUGGGCUUUCUGAAAAUCUAACAAAGCACCGCCGUGGUGGUAGUAUAAGAAGAAACGAUACCUGGAGAUGGCUGGCUACGUUUUCUCGGGUGAGGCUACUAACAUUCAUCCUCUCCAAAAUUUUCUUGGGAACAACAUCUGCAUGAAUUCACAUAGUUCAAAUAGAUAUAUUUAAAAAAUAUUUUAACAUGUGAGCGUUUUAAAAAUUUUAGCAUAAUAAUAAACAUAUAUUUUGAUGAAAUUUUUCUAUCGUAUAUUAUCAUACUGGUUUUUUAAUUAGAAUAUAUAAACUAAUAAGUAUUCCUAAGAAAAUUAUGUUUGUACGUGCGAACAAGACAUUUUGUAUAUAUAUAUAUAUAUAUAUGCAUAUAUAGAAUAAAUCUAAGAUGACAAACCCGAGUAACUAUGAACCCUAAUGUACGUGACUCACCAUUGUUGCCAAGGGAAUUCACUGCAUCCAAAAACUUGCCGUUAAGAUAAUCAUCCCACACCACUCGCCUUUUCUUGGUGGCGGAAUCACGAUUAUGAUCUGGAUCCUCGUCUGUUUGUAACAUGUUUCUUUUUCUCCUGUUAGGGCUUCUUAUGGUGGAAUCUCCCACAGAGGAUGACUUCUCAGCUGCUGCUUUCUCUUCUGCCUCUUCGGCAACCGUGAUACCCCUUAGUUCCAUCUUCUUUACCAAGUAUUUAUAAAUCAAA
rnacentral:lncRNA from 1 species